GCCAAACCAAAGAGAGCACCGGGGAAGAGGAGCCCAGCGGACUGCGGACGGACACCGCACCAAACCAAAGCGACCAGAAAAUUCUCUCCUCCUCGCACCAGCGCUGCUCUCCUCCUCUCCCCACCGAAAUUCCCCACAUCCGCCCCGCCGUCUUCCACCCCGUCCGUCUCCCCCGCCGGCCACCGCCAUGCGCAUCCGCAGGUACGCCGCGCGCCUGCUCGCCUCCUCGAACCCGGCGUCCGCCGCCGCGUCCUCGCCCCCGCCGCAGCCCGCGGCGCCCUGGUUCCACGCCGCUGCCGAUGACUGCGCCAUCUGCGAGCGCACCCGCUGCUCCGACUCGGAGGGGGCUCCCGACGGGGUGAAGCACAAGGGGCACAUUGCCAGACUCACGCCGGAGGGCGAGCUCAAGAGCGAUGAGCGCAUCGGCGUACCUCGGUCGCCUCCUGUUCCUCCGGAAGAAAUCAUUCCAGCUCACGAAUGCAAGGUAGAUGACGAACGAUCUGCGAGUAAACAUGACGCCACACUGGAAGAAGUUGAAAUUGGAGCUUCUAGUGUUAGCUCAACUCCUGUUCCUCCGGAAGAAAUCAUUCCGGCUCAUGGAUGCAAGAUAGAUGACGAACGAUCUGUGGGUAAACAUGACGCCGCGCUGGAAGUUGAAAUUGGAGCUUCUGGUGUUAGUUCACCUCGUGUUCCUCCGGAAGAAAUUAUCCCAACUCAUGAAUGCAAGAUCGAUGACGAACGAUCUGCAAGUAAAGAUGGCGUCGCUCUGGAAUUUGAAAUGGGAGCUUCUGGUGCUAGUAGAGCUGCUGCGAGACCAGAUGAUAUGGGGAAAACUAUGCUUGUCAAUGAAGCCGUUACUGAGCCAGCAGAUACAGGAGGAGCUUUUAUUGUUAAUGAAGAUACUGAUGAGCAGGAAGUUGGAGGGACAACUUCUCCUGUGAAUGCCUCUGUUACUGAACAGGAGGUUACUGGGGGAGCUUCUCUUGUGAGUGACUCGUUCUCUGAGCCAGAAGUUAUACGGGGAGUUUCCUUUGCUAAUGAAGCUACUACGAAGCAAGAAGUUUCGGAGAUAGUUUCUCUCGUGAGUGAGGCUAUAACUGAGCCAGCAGCUAUAGUCACUGCAUCGGAAGUUAUAAGGGGAGCCCCCCUUGAUGGCAAAGGCGAUGCAGAGCCCGAUUUGAAAAUGAGAGCUUCUCUCGUGAAUGAGUCUGCUUGUAAAAUGGAUGUUAAGCGGGUAUCUUCCCUUGUUUUUGAAGCUGUAACUCAUGCAGCACUCCCAGAAAGUGUUUCUCUUGUGAGUGAAGUUGUCACUGAGCCAGGAGUUAAUGGAGCUGCUUUCCACGACAAUGAAGUUUCAGUGGAACCAGAAGUUGCAGGUGGACCUUCUCUUGUAGAUGAAUCUACUGAACAGGCAGUAACAGGGAAAACUUGUGCUGUCAAGGAAGUUGCUGCAGAACCAGAUGUUGUUGGCGGGGCUUCUGCUUGUAGGGGAGAUGGCAAUGCUGAUUUAAAUGAGCAACAGCCUCCUGACUAUGAUCCAGAUAUUUCCAGUGUACAGGGUGAAAGUGCAGGAGAGGGUGUCGCCAGCGAAGUGCAGCCUUCUAGAGACCAUGAAGCAGAUACCAUUCGUUCUGUAAACACCAGGAACAGUGAACCUGUUGGAGACAAGAGUCCAACUGGUGAGGAAGUAGCACCGCACGAUGACACACCCAGUGUUUCAUGUGUAUCAGAUAUUUUAGCUAGAAGCGUUGGGAAAUCAGGGAGAACUGAUAUCAUAUGUUAUGCUAGGCGCAGGGGUAAAAGGAAGCUAAAUAUUGUGGAGAUAAAGAGAAAACAAAUUAAAAUGGAUGAUGGUGCCAUCUAUGAUCAAAAGGCGGCACUGGAUAGAAUUGCUCCUCGCCUGAGUAAAAUGCCAACAGCUGGAUCUGCAGAAAUUAAACUCGCCGACAUAAAGAGAGAACUUAUAGACAAUUCAGCCUCGAGCAAGGGUAAACAGAGGAAGAUGCGACCAUUUGAAUGUGACGUUGAGUAUUGCCGCAUGACAUUCAAAAAUAAGGCCGAGCUUUCUCUCCACAAGAAGAACAUGUGCACGCUCAAGUCAUGUGGCAGACAAUUCAGAGCCCACAAGUAUCUGAAACGCCACCAGAAGAUUCACGAUUGUGAUACUCCUUACAAGUGCCCAUGGGAGGGUUGCAGUAUGGCUUUCAAGUGGACAUGGGCUCUGGCAGAGCAUUUCCAAGUUCAUACAGGAGAUAAGCCAUAUAAAUGCAAGACGCCUGGGUGUGGCCGGAUAUAUAAGUUUGUUUCGGACUUCACCCGGCAUAGGAUGAGGUGCAAACCUCAGAGGUGCGUUGAUGAUGAACACCGUGUGAGUAAAGGUUAUGUGGGACUGGAAGUUGCAAGAGGAGCUUCUGUUGUUAAUGGAGACACCAGAUGAUACAGAGGAAACUACGCUUUGACGUAAAGACGCUACUGAGCCGGCAGUUCCAGGAGGAGCUUUUAUUGUUAAUGAAGAUACUGAUGAGCAGGAAGUUGGAGGGAUAACUUUUUGUUUGAAAGGCUCUGUGACUGAACUGGAGGUUACUAGGGGAAGCUUCUCUUGUGAAUGGCUCUGUCACUGAACUGGAGGUUACUGGGGUAGCUUCUGGCGUGAGCGGAUUGUUUGCUAAGCCAGAAGUUAUAAGGGGAGUUUCUCUUGCUAAUGAAGCUGCUACUCAGUGAGAAGUUCCAGGGUGAGUUUCUCUUGUGAGUGAGUCUACAACUGGGCCAACAGCUAUACUCACUGCAUUGGAAGUUACAAUGGGAGCUCCCCUUGAUGACGAAGUAGCUGCAGAGCCGAAUAUUAAAUGGUAGCAUCUCUUAUGAAUGAAUCUGCUGCUAAAAUGGAUGUGAAAUGGACAGCUUCCCUUUUUUUGAAGCUAUGACUCAUCCAGGACUUGCAGACAGAGUUCCUCCUUGGAGUGAAGUUGUCACUGAGCCAGGACUUCUCACUGUCACAGGUGGACCUUCAUUUACUGAACUAGAAAUUACAUGGGAAUCUUAUACUGCUAAGGAAGUUGCUGGCAUGGCUUCUUCUUGUAGUGGAGAUGGUGAUCCUGAUUUAAAUGGGCCACAGCCUCUGGAUUUUGUUCCAAACAAUUGCUAAUGUGCAGGUUGAAAAUGCAGGAGAGGGUGUUGCCAGCAAAAUGCAGCCGCCUUACAGGACCAUGCAGUUGACGCUAUUGGUUCUGUAGAUACCACGAACAGUGAUCCUGUUAAAGACAAGAGUCUAACUGGCGCAGAGGUAAGAGGAAACUGAAUAUUGUGGAGAUAAAGUCAGAAACAAAUUGGAAUGGAUGAUGGUGCCAUGAUGCCAUCUAUGAUCAAUGUGAGGAAAAGGCGGUGCUGUACAGGAUUGCUCCUUGCAUGAGAGCAUUGUCAAAAGCUGAACCUGCAAAAAUUAAACUUGUGGACAUAAAGAGUGAAUUUAUAGACAAAAUUCAAUUCAACUUCAAGCAAGGGUAAAAAAGAGGAAGAUGCAACAAUUUGAAUGUGACAUAGAAUACUGCUGCAUGACAUUCAAUAAAAAAGCCGAAGUUUGUCUGCACACAAAGAACAUGUGCACUGUCAAGUCAUGUGGUAGACAAUUCAGGACCAAUAGGUAUCUGAGAGACAAAUCACAAUGAUGACACGUCUUACAAGUGCGCAUGGGAUGGUUGCAGUAUGGCUUUCAAGGAAACAGGGGCUCUUGCUGAGCAUUUCCAAGUUCAUACAGGGAAAGACUAUAAAUGCAGGAUGUCUGGGUGUGGCAAGAUAUAUACGUAUGUUUCGUUCACCCGGCAUAGGAUGAGGUGCAAACCUCAGAGGUAAAAUCUUUCUGAAUUUUUCAGAGCAAGGGUAGGAGCAAAGCUUGUGUUUGCUUUUGUAUAUGGUUUUAUUAUUUGCUGAAGUUAUUGUGUUCAAUUGUUCUGAGUUCUGACGACUUAUGGUGAGAUUGUUCGUUUCUUUACUGAAGAAAAUGGUUAAUAAUGCUUUUCUUGAAUGUCGGUGUAACAUUUCCAGAAGCUGAUUGAUAAAUAUCCCUAUUGUUUGUUCUUUAA